GACGAACGCUGGCGGCGUGCUUAACACAUGCAAGUCGAACGCUGAAGCCCUUCGGGGUGGAUGAGUGGCGAACGGGUGAGUAACACGUGGGUAAUCUGCCCUGCACUCUGGGAUAAGCCUUGGAAACGGGGUCUAAUACCGGAUAGGACACAUCGCCGCAUGCUGUGUGUGUGGAAAGUUCCUGCGGUGCAGGUUGAGGCCGCGGCCUAUCAGCUUGUUGGUGGGGUGAUGGCCUACCAAGGCGACGACGGGUAGCCGGCCUGAGAGGGUGACCGGCCACACUGGGACUGAGACACGGCCCAGACUCCUACGGGAGGCAGCAGUGGGGAAUCUUGCGCAAUGGGCGAAAGCCUGACGCAGCAACGCCGCGUGGGGGAUGACGGCCUUCGGGUUGUAAACCUCUUUCGACCGGGACGAAGGAUUCGUUUGACGGUACCGGUAGAAGAAGCACCGGCUAACUACGUGCCAGCCGCCGCCGUAA
rnacentral:rRNA from 1 species